rnacentral:lncRNA from 1 species
AAAAAAACAAACAUUUCAGUUGUUAGUUCCAUAAAAUCCUGAUAUUUACCUACUAUCGUAUAAAUUGUCAUGCUCGUUAACAAAUGGUUUGAAUAACCGGGUUAAUUAUCCGGAAUUCGAUAUUUCAUUCAGCCAGGUAAAAAUGGUGGAUAGGGGUUACCUGAGAAUAUAAAUAACAACUAAACCAUGUUUAUAAAUAUCCCGAGAAAAUAAAAACGUGUAUGGAUGAAUACAUGUAUGGACAGUAAUUAAAUUAUCAAGUGUGGUCAAGUAAAUAGGUCAAUAGUAAAGUACGAACUUUUGAUUUCCUUGAAAAUAUUCCCAAAAGACAAACUUACCUGUUUCCUACAAUUUUUUAAAGGUAAAAGAUAUAAUGAUUAAUACCACACAUCGGAUUAACUAUGUUUAUCAGAUUUUGAUUGGUCUAGCAAGUCUCGCCUCAUGAAUGAACCCCAAGCUAGAUCAAACUAAGCUCAUCGUAUGUCCCUGUUAGGGUUAAAAUGACGAACAAAUCACUGUAAACUAUGAUCAUUUAUUCACAGGGCAGUAGAGAGACAUAUUCCUUUAAAAGUGAAAUUUGCAGUUGAAAACAUUAGAAAAACGUAAAGGAAAAACAUCCGACUAUCCCUUAUUAAAGUCCAUGCCCUCUCAUGCAGCGCUCCCGUUUUUCGAAUAUUUUAAAAUUUCAUAUAAAUUGUCGCCA